UAACUCUCACCAUAGAGAGAGGUUCUUCCUCUUCCUCCAUAACUCACCAUAGAGGUUCUUCCUCUUCCUCCAUAACUCUCACCAUAGAGAGAGGUUCUUCCUCUUCCUCCAUAACUCCCACCAUAGAGAGAGGUUCUUCCUCUUCCUCCAUAACUCUCACCAUAGAGAGGUUCUUCCUCUUCCUCCAUAACUCUCACCAUAGAGAGAGGUUCUUCCUCUUCCUCCA